UGUGGCCUUGUUGUAGGAAGUGUGGCUCCCAGUCUCUUUUCCUGCUGUCUGCCAAUCCAAAUGCAGAACUCUCAACUCCUUCUCCAGCACCAUGUCUGCCUCAUGCCACCAUGCUUCCCGCAUGAACUGGUCUUGCAGUAUUUGAGAAGCCAGAAAGACCCCGAAUGGCUGGUACAGACUACUUUUAAAGGAAAAAGCCACAGAAACAAGAUAGGGCCCCUCCUAAGGAUUUGACUGGUGGUUGGAACAAUUGGACUUUCUUUUCUGAUAACUUGUGGUCUCUAUCAGGUGUGCUUCCGGUUUCCCACAUUAUCAGAGGGAGCUGCCUUACUGAGAAAAGCAGCAAGCAUCUGUGGAGGCCUCUCCUGGUAGGUCAUAGUAAUUUUCUGUGACAUCUGGUUCUGUCGGGAUCCUGACCUGGGAUGAAGAGGGUUCUGACGAGACUUAGUACUCUCCCAUCCAAGGCAAAGAGCAAGGCAU